rnacentral:rRNA from 1 species
AACUUCAAGAUAAGAUUUCCCACCGCAAGGGUAAGACCCCAGAAAGACUAUCUGGUUGAUAGGUCGAAGGUGUAAGUGCAGCAAUGUAUUUAGCUUAUCGAUACUAAUAGGUCGAGGACUUGACCAAGAUUUAUU